AUGACCUAUAUCAAUGAGACUGCCCUUGACCAAGCCCCCUGUUCUCUACCAGGAAAUCAGACCGUGUGGGCCGGGCACCCUGUGGGCAUCGUGAUCCGUGAGGCGUUCCAGCCUGGUGCCGCCGUGCUUUGGCUGUCAACUUUUCUGGGUCCCAGUUGCUUCAACACCGGAUCCUGUCCGUGUCCUAAAUGGACAUGGAAACCGAAAAACGAACUCCGGGCUCGGCGUCAGGGCAAGCUCUUUGAUUCCACUAUAGCUGAUGAAGGAACAUGGACUUUGGAGGAUAGAAAAAUGGUCCGCAUUGUUCUUACAAAGACAAAGAGAGACGCAGCCAACUGUUGGACUUCCCUUCUAGAAUCUGAAUAUGCCGCUGAUCCUUGGGUACAAGACCAAAUGCAGAGAAAGCUCACAUUAGAGAGGUUCCAAAAAGAAAAUCCUGGCUUUGACUUCAGUGGAGCUGAAAUCUCAGGAAACUACACAAAAGGUGGACCAGAUUUCUCAAACCUUGAGAAAUAACUGCAGUUCUUUAGAAAAGAAAAGCUUUUGGUUACAUUGUGUGGAUCAUAGCAGGUAUAGCCAAUGUUAAUAUAAGCAGUAUAUUACGUGGUGGAAGAAAAAAAUAGGAUACCUACAAUUAACAAAUUGCAAAGCUAUUUAAAUAUGGUUCUAAAAAUUGCAUUAAGAUAUGAUUUA